rnacentral:rRNA from 1 species
AACGAACGCUGGCGGCAUGCCUAACACAUGCAAGUCGAACGAGACCUUCGGGUCUAGUGGCGCCCGGGUGCGUAACGCGUGGGAACCUGCCCUUAGGUUCGGAAUAACUCCCCGAAAGGGGUGCUAAUACCGGAUAAUGUCUUCGGACCAAAGAUUUAUCGCCUUUGGAUGGGCCCGCGUUGGAUUAGCUAGUUGGUAGGGUAAAAGCCUACCAAGGCGACGAUCCAUAGCUGGUCUGAGAGGAUGAUCAGCCACACUGGGACUGAGACACGGCCCAGACUCCUACGGGAGGCAGCAGUGGGGAAUAGUGGACAAUGGGCGAAAGCAUGAUCGAGCAAUGACGCGUGAGUGAUGAAGGCAGUAGGGUUGUAAAGCUCUUUUAACCGGGAUGAUAAUGACAGUACCGGGAGAAUAAGCUCCGGCUAACUCCGUG